CUCAGUGACACAACAACAGUUACAAUAACGGUUGAAGACUUUGACAACCUAAACCCUUAUUUUGAUCACAGUCUCUAUGAAGCAUCUAUUGAGGAAAAUCAGGCAGGGCAAUUGUCAGACGUCACUCCUGAGGCCAUAAAAGCUCAAGAUGGCGACACAGGCAUCAACGAGCCUGUCGUUUACAGCAUAACAGCAGUCUUUCCAAAUGAAUAUCAGAGCAACCUUAAUAUUGACCAAAACAGUGGAGUCAUCUCCGUGACAACAGCACUAGACAGAGAGGAAAUUGACCA